UGGGGGAUAUUGCACAAUGGGCGCAAGCCUGAUGCAGCGACGCCGCGUGGGGGAUGAAGGCCUUCGGGUUGUAAACUUCUUUUGCUCUGAACAAGGCGCACUUUGGGGUGUGUUGAGUGUAGGGGUUGAUUAGCGCCGGCUAACUACGUGCCAGCAGCUGCGGUAAUACGUAGGGCGCGAGCGUUGUCCGGAAUUAUUGGGCGUAAAGGGCAUGUAGGUGGCUGGUUGCGUCUGUCGUGAAAGCUCAUGGCUUAACUGUGGGUGUGCGGUGGGUACGGGCUGGCUUGAGUGCAGUAGGGGAGGGUGGAAUUCCUGGUGUAGCGGUGAAAUGCGCAGAUAUCAGGAGGAAUACCGGUGGCGAAGGCGGGUCUCUGGGCUGUUACUGACACUGAGGAGCGAAAGCAUGGGGAGCGAACAGG
rnacentral:rRNA from 1 species